AUUGAACGCUGGCGGCAGGCCUAACACAUGCAAGUCGAACGAGUGGAGGACGGGCGAGUAAUGUACGGGAAACGGCCCGACGGAGGGGGACAACUACUGAAAACGGUAGCUAAUACCGCAAACCCACGGAAGCGCCCCGCUGGGAGUGGCUAGUAGGUGGGGUAACGGCUCACCUAGGCGACGAGCCCUAGCUGGUCUGAGAGGAUGACCAGCUACACGCGGACUGAGACACGGUCCAGGCUCCUACGGUAGGCAGCAGUCGGGAAUUUUGCACAAUGGGCGCAGGCCUGAUCCAGCCAUGCCGCGUGUAUGAAGAAGUCCUUCGGGUUGUAAAGUACUUUCUGCGAGGAGGCGUUACUCGCAGAAGAAGCACCGGCUAACUCCGGGCCAGCAGCCGCGGUAAUAC
rnacentral:rRNA from 1 species